rnacentral:lncRNA from 1 species
GAAAUAGGAGAAGAAAGAAAAGAGAGAGCAGGCGUGUGGCUGAAACAGCCCAGCUGCCAGCCGCCCAACUCCACCAAUUUCCUUCUCCCUACACCCUACCACCUAUUCCUUAGCAUGCUCCAGCAGCCCCAACUCCUCCAAUCACCUUCACUCUACCUUACACCUAUUCUUGCUAGCAUACUCAAGUAUGCACCAAUGAACUCUUAGUAUCAACCCCAGCCAACAAACAACUCUCACUCUCACUUUAUUUCACCGAAAAAAAUAUCGAAGAGCAGCCCCAAUUCAUUCUGCCAAGAUCUCAAGGUAAGGCUUGGCUUCAAUGUUUUCAUUUCCUUUAAGUAGUUCACCUGCAUUAACACAAGAACCAUAGUUCAUUCAGUUAUUGCUCUAUUAAAACCAUUCAACUACAGCGAACAAAUCAUCAAUCAAACCAAACAACUGCAAGCUAUUACACAUUUCAUUCAACUCCAACAGCCACCAAUCAGUUCGAACACAUUCAAGGUAUUAUACUAUCUCGAAUUUCAAUCCAAUCAAGCAUUCAUGUCAACAUGUUCAAGCUAUGGCAUUACAACUAUGUUAUGAUUCACUCAUUGUUACUUUAAGCUCUAGAACGACACACCAUGAGUACUCUGCCCUUAACAACUAGAAACUAGGAUAUAAGGAAGUAGGACUUAGCUUUAGGGAAAAAGGGCGCAGCCUGUUCGGUCGAGCCAAGAAGCGAUGAUCGGGCGACGGCUCAUGGGGAUCCUAGCGCCAACCGCGAAUCCCGGCGAUGUGCAGAGGCACGCCGGACUCGUGCGCAGCAGCGGCGGUUCCAAGGACAGCAGCGUCGACGACAUCGAGCGGUGAAAGGCAGACGACUCCCGAUCACAGCGAUGGCCCCGCGCCCAUUCUAGAGUAACAGCAGCGGCGGCGUACCCAUCGCCCGAAUCCAGCAGCAGUGCGGCCGCUCGAACCGCCGACCCGGAGAAAGCAGCAAUGACAGACGCUUGUCUACUCACCGGAGGGACGAAAAGGCGACAAGGUUGCCGGAUUCUGGAAGAGGAAGAGGGAGUGUGGCCGGUUCUUUUUGGGGGAAGGAUAGGGCUCAAUUCUUGAGCGGCCUCCCCUGAAGCUGAGAGACAGCAGCAGCGGCUCGGUGCACGGCGGCGGUGGCGAUUCAGGCGGAGAAACGCCGGCUUGAGACAACAACGUCGUCGGAGGAACGCAAGAACAGCGGCGGCGCUCGCCGGUCCCACGGCGGCGGCAGCAGAUUGAAGCACAGGCGAGAGUAUUAGGGCUCGCUCCCCCUUUUUCCUCGAGCUUGAAUUCAAGAAAUUGAAAGCGAAGGAAGGCAGGGAUGGAGGUAAGGGAGGAGGAUCGAUCGCCGUUCACCGGAAUUUCAGGAGCGGCGGCGGCGAUUUUCGAUUUUCUAUUUUUGGGAGGGGCUAGGGUUCGAUUAUGACAGGAAAGGGUAAAGAUUAAGGAACGAAUUGUUGAGCUGCUGGGUUGAAUCAGAUGAGAGAUCGACCUUGGAAGGAGGAGGAGGCGCUCGCCGGUCUUCCACAGACGGCAGCGGCGGCGGUACCCGCCUCGGCUGAGGCCGGAUCGAGAGGGAGAGAUAGGGAGAGGACCGAAGGGAGUAUCUGAUUGAGAGAGAG